rnacentral:rRNA from 1 species
CAGUCGCCGCGGGAAUACGGAGGGUGCAAGCGUUAAUCGGAAUUACUGGGCGUAAAGCGCACGCAGGCGGUCUGACAAGUCAGAUGUGAAAUCCCCGGGCUUAACCUGGGAACUGCAUUUGAAACUGUCAGGCUGGAGUCUUGUAGAGGGGGGUGGAAUUCCAGGUGUAGCGGUGAAAUGCGUAGAGAUCUGGAGGAAUACCGGUGGCGAAGGCGGCCCCCUGGACAAAGACUGACGCUCAGGUGCGAAAGCGUGGGGAGCAAACAGGAUUAGAUACCCCGGUAGUCCCUGUCUCUUAUAC